rnacentral:rRNA from 1 species
UACGGAGGGUGCGAGCGUUGUCCGGAAUCACUGGGCGUAAAGGGCGCGUAGGUGGCGCGGGCAGUCAACGGUGAAAGUUCGGGGCUCAACCCUGAAUCGGCCGUCGAUACUCCCGUGCUUGAGCACUGUAGAGGCAGAUGGAAUUCCGGGUGUAGCGGUGGAAUGCGUAGAGAUCCGGAAGAACGCCGGUGGCGAAGGCGGUCUGCUGGGCAGUUGCUGACACUGAGGCGCGACAGCGUGGGGAGCAAACAGG